UAGCUGUCAUGGCCGAAGGAAAACUUUGCCGCGUCCCAACCUGCGACCCGAUCCACUCACGUGACCACGACCUUGACGCCUGGUUCGAAUCCCGGAGUCGCGACCUUUUAUUUCGGUGAAAGGUUCUCCCGCACUCGUGUGAGUAAUCCACGAACGGCUUGCGGCGCUGCUAAGACAUGGAAGAGACGCUUGAGGGAAGCAAUUCUGCAGAGGCCUUCCACUCGGGGGUGGCGGCACCAGAACACGUCGGCGUGCGGGUCGUAGGAGGGGACAACUGGUGGUUGACCUUUUUUUUUUU
rnacentral:SRP_RNA from 1 species